rnacentral:piRNA from 1 species
UAGCACACAUGAAUUCCUGGACUCACUC